AGUGAACGCUGGCGGUAGGCCUAACACAUGCAAGUCGAACGGCAGCACAGUAAGAGCUUGCUCUUACGGGUGGCGAGUGGCGGACGGGUGAGGAAUACAUCGGAAUCUACUUUUUCGUGGGGGAUAACGUAGGGAAACUUACGCUAAUACCGCAUACGACCUACGGGUGAAAGCAGGGGAUCUUCGGACCUUGCGCGAUUGAAUGAGCCGAUGUCGGAUUAGCUAGUUGGCGGGGUAAAGGCCCACCAAGGCGACGAUCCGUAGCUGGUCUGAGAGGAUGAUCGGCCACACGGGAACUGAGACAGGGUCCAGACUCCUACGGGAGGCAGCAGUGGGGAAUAUUGGACAAUGGGCGCAAGCCUGAUACAGCCAUACCGCGUGGGUGAAGAAGGCGUUCGGGUUGUAAAGCCCUUUUGUUGGGAAAGAAAAGCAGCAGGUUAAUACCCCGCUGUUCUGACGGUACCCAAAGAAUAAGCACCGGCUAACUUCGUG
rnacentral:rRNA from 1 species